GAUGAACGCUGGCGGCAUGCCUAACACAUGCAAGUCGAUCGGUAAGGCUCUUCGGAGUACACGAGAGGCGGACGGCUGAGUAACGCGUAGGAACACACCCUGCAGUGAGGGAUAAGACACCGAAAGGUGUUCUAAUACCGCAUACGGUCUUCGGAUUAAAGCAUUUAUGCGCUGAAGGAGUGGCCUGCGUCAUAUUAGAUAGUUGGUGAGGUAAUGGCUCACCAAGUCGAUGAUGUGUAGCUGGUCUGAGAGGAUGAUCAGCCAGACUGGAACUGAGACACGGUCCAGACUCCUACGGGAGGCAGCAGUGAGGAAUAUUUCACAAUGAGCGAAAGCUUGAUGGGGCAAUGCCGCGUGCAGGAUGAAGGCCCUCGGGUUGUAAACUGCUUUUAUAAGAGAAGAUUAUGACGGUAACUUAUGAAUAAGGGACGGCUAACUACGUG
rnacentral:rRNA from 1 species